rnacentral:rRNA from 1 species
UACGUAGGGUGCAAGCGUUGUCCGGAAUUAUUGGGCGUAAAGAGCUCGUGGGCGGUUUGUCGCGUCGAAUGUGAAAACCCGGGGCUCAACCCCGGGCCUGCAUUCGAUACGGGCAGACUAGAGUUCGGUAGGGGAGUCUGGAAUUCCUGGUGUAGCGGUGAAAUGCGCAGAUAUCAGGAGGAACACCGGUGGCGAAGGCGGGACUCUGGGCCGAUACUGACGCUGAGGAGCGAAAGCGUGGGGAGCAAACAGG